GGCAUAUGCUUUUUGGGAGGCAGAGGCAGGCGGAUUUCUGAGUUCGAAGCCAGCCUGGUCUACAAAGUGAGUUCCAGGACAGCCAAGGGUACACAGAGAAACCCUGUCUCAAAAAAAAAAAAAUAAAAUAAAAAAAAAAAAUAAGGAUACAGUCUCAGCCAGACACAGUGCAUAUACCUAUAAUCUCAACUGAGGCACAACAAUAAAGAUAUUGAGGCCAGCCUGUGCUCUAUAUAGUGAGAUCAUGUCUCCAAAAAUGUCCCUUUCUUUCCAUAAGGAUAGGUUGUCUAAAGCAGAGGACAGAAAAAGCAAACACAAUUCUGUUAGAUUAGCAAAACAAGUCAAAGUUGACUGUUUCCCUGCAACAGGCCCUCUGGGAUUCUGACAGCGAGCAGAAUAAGUAUUCAUACAAAGGCUAUAUGUCAUAGAACAAUGUCUGCCUUGUUCUCAGUAGUGUCUUGUACUCUUCAUUGUGAUGGUGAGGCUUCCUGGUUGUCUCUUGCCGUCUGGAAAGUCGUCCAGUUCUGACCACAUACCUUGCACUGGUUCUUCACUUAGGUUCAGAUGCCAUCGUGCUCUCCCAGGUCUGGAGCAGGUGCUUCCUGUGCGUUAUGACAUGUUUUACUUGCUCCUAAUUAGCAUAUGCCACUGUUGAAAUUCCCUAGGAAGAAACAGUUUAGCUUCCGUGAGGAAAGUCUCAUGGAAGUCUCCUGUUCACUCCCUAGCCUGCAGCACAGAGCCUGGUAGGACUGUGAAACUGAAUGACUGUGUUGCUUAUUCAUCUUGCAGUUAAUGCUUAACUACCAUUACUUUUCGCCCCGUCUGGGGUGGCUUUCCUUUGUUUUCUGGAGGGGAAGGCGAGUCAUUGUAUUUACUCUCUAUUGAAAGGAAUUCCCAUCUAGCCAUUUGCUGUUGGGAAGAAGUAUCCCAGCUGCUUUUCUGGCUCAGGGCAUUUCUGAGGUCUCACCAGCUGCACUGCCAGGCCCGCGAAGCAACAGGAGUGAGGAGGGCCUUUCAGGAAUUUAUGAGACUUCCUCAAUGGAGUAGAUCUUGCACAGAAAUAGCUUUUCCUCCCUUCAGCACAUCUUCCCAAGUACCAAACAGCAAGAGGCAUGUGGAGUCAAAGCAUGAUCUUGAAUAAAUGAAGAAAAAUAAUCAGGAAAGCUUUUAAAGAAACACACACUAGUGACCUUCUUCUUUCUAUAGUAUUAUAAUCUUUUCAGUGAGCUUAAGAACUCAGUCAAGUCCUUUUUAUUUUUUAUUUCUUCUAUAAUUCUUAAUUGUGUGUGCACUCUCAAAGGCCAGAAACAUCAGAUCCUUCUGGAGCUGGAGCUGGAGCUGCAGGCAGUUGUGAACUACCUGACACGGACGCUAGGAACUGAACUCUGGUCCGCAGGGGGAGGAGUACAAACUCCUGACCACUGAUCCAUCUCUCUGAAACCCCUUUUGGAUUUUUUUAGUUUGUUGGUUGAUUGGUGUUUGUUUAAAGUUUUUGUUUUGUUUUGUUUUGUUGAGGUUUUUUUGUAUGUUUUUUGUUUGUUUUGAGACAACCUCAUAUAGCCAGGUUGACCUUACUACUCUGUAUAUCUGAGUCUGGUCUUGAACUCUGGAUUACAGGCAUACACCACCACCCCUGGAUCAAAUCCUUUUUAAAUUGUUAAAGGCUUUUGUUGGAAAUUUUCUAAUGUCAUUUUCUAAAUAGUAUCUUUGUUAUUUUUUUUAAUACAGAUUAACUGGUAGCAUUAACCACCAAAAAAAUAAACAAACAGAUACAGAGAUUUCUAUGGUCCUUUUUUAAUGGAGAUAUAAUUCAUACUCCAUGUCACCCUUUUAAACUGUGUAAUUGCAUGGGCCUUAGUAUAUUCUCAAGAUUAUAUAGCCAUCACCUUGACUUAAUUCCAUAGCAUUUUUAUCACCCCAGAAUGAAGCUUCAUACUCCUUUAACAGCUUCGUCUGAGGCUGGCCAGAUGCCUCAAUGCUUGCCAGCAAGCCUGACACCCUGAGCAGGAGCCACGUGGUAGAAGAAGAAAGCCCACGCCCACAAGUUCUUCUCUGAUCUCCACAUGCAUCUUACUAUGUACACAUGUACACAUACACAAUAAGUACAUAGAUAGAUAGAUAGAUAGAUAGAUAGAUAGAUAGAUAGAUAGAUAGAUAGAUAGAUAAGGGAGAAGUUUAAGAUGCACUCCAGUUACUCCUACUGUCUCAAUAAACUUAUUUAUCUGGGAUGUUUCGUUUGUAGAAAUGGAAUCAUACAAUCUGUGGCCUUCUAUAUACUUCUUUUAUCAUAGUUCUCUUUUCAUUUUGUGGCAUGAAACAAUACUUCCUUUCUAUGGCUGAGUAAUAGUCUAUUGUAUGCUAUAUUCACACUUUGUUCAUCCAUUCAUCAGUUGAUGCAUAUUUGGGUUGUUUCCAGUUUUUUACAAAUAAUAAUGCUGCUGUGAACAUGAGGGCAUAGAUUUUUAUGAACAUGGUUGUUUUCUUGACCUAGUGCCUAGGAAUUAAAUUACCAGGUCAUACAGUUCCUGAACGGCCAAACCGUUGUUCGGAAUGUGACUUCCAGUUGACAUUCUCAUUAGCCCCGUAAGGACUCAUCGCUUUCCCCCACAUCAUCAUUGCUCCUGAUGAUGGCCAUCCUGGUGAUGAUAAAGUAGUCUGUAAUCCUGACUUUUUUUAUUUCUUCCAAUUUUGAGAUUAUAUUAUAAUUAUAUCAACUCUCCCUUCCCUUUCUUUCCUCCAAACCCUCCCAUAUACAUCUCCUUUCUCUCUUUCAACUCCGUGGUUUCUUUUUCAUUAAUUGUUUUUACACACACACACACACAUUCCUAACUAUAACCUGAUAAAUCUGUAUAAUGUAUGUUUUCAGGGCUGACCAUUCGUCAUUAGAUAACUAAUUGAUGUGCUCUUCCCUGGAUAAACAGUUUUUCCUACUUUCAGCAUCUCAUAGUUACCCAUAUGUAGUUUUUUGUGUAGGGUUGAAGUCUCCUGGGGCUUAGCCCGUACACUUUGGUGUGUCUAUUGUUGUCCUUGUUCAGUUCAUAUUUAGAUAGUCGUAUAGGUGAGACUUUAUAGUGUAGCUUCUGACAUUCUCGUUUGUUUGUUUGUUUGUUUGUUUGUUUGUUUGUUUGUUUGAGACAGGGUUUCUCUGUGUAGCCCUGGCUGUCCAAGAACUCACUCUGUAGACCAGGCUGGCCUCGAACUCAGAAAUCCGCCUGCCUCUGCCUCCCUAGUGCUGGUAUUAAAGGUGUACGCCACCAUGCCCAGCUAGCUUCUGACAUUCUUAAGAGACAAAAUUGCAGGGUAAACUCCUUGACCCUCUGGCUCUUACAGUCUUUCCGCUCUUCCUUCUGAAAUGUUCCCUGAGCCAUAGGUGUAGGAGCUGUUUUAUAGAGGUGCCCAUUGGAACUGGUCUCCACAUCUCUGCAUUUUGAUUGGUUGUAGUUUUCUGUAAUGGUUUCUGUCUGUUGCACUUUUCCAUGGUUAUAAGGACAAAUAUUUAAAAUGUUGUUAGGAUUUAUUCUGGUAGGUUCUCCUCCAAGAUCCAUGACUUCACUAGGCCUGGGUAGUUGACCAAGUUUCCAGUACUAAACACAAUUUCCCUCCUAAUUUAAGCAGGUCUUAAGUCCAAUGAGAGGGCCGGGCAGUGGUGGCACACGCCUUUAAUCCCAGAGGACAACCAGGGCUACACAGAGAAACCCUGUCUCAGAAAAAGAAAAAAAAAAAAAAAAGUUCAGUGAGAGAGCUGAUGGUUACUGCCAACAUAUGCAUGCCACUACUGCACCCUUGGGGUUAUCAUGCCAUGCUGGUCAUCAUUGUGUCUCAUAAGCACCAUAUCUGUGUGACACUCUUGGUUGCUUACCUCCUUUGGAAGCUUGAUUGGCACCUCUGGUACCAAAAACCUUAGUCCUUAGAACAGAGGCAUUCAGGUCAGUUCCAGCUCGGGGCCUCUGACUCUGUGUCUGAAGUGAAUGGUGUCUUCAGCAAUAAGAACUUAACCUUCCACUCUGGGAGGCAACCAAUAGCAAUGGUAGCUGUUUGGGGGAGUUUGGAAGAGUCUCUUGAACAAACCUGACCAACAAAAAGAGGAUUUCUUAUGCCUAAUGUUGAAGUUAUCUUAGGUGUUCUCUUGGAGGGACCAUUGUCAGCCUAGACGAGGAAAUUUCAUUUAAACUAUAUACGUAUUUUUACACACAGACUUAGUAUAUUACAGGUGGGGAAUUUUUAGGUGAAUAGUUAAUCAUGAUUCCUAUGACUUCUUCACACGUCCUUACUUAUUUUACCUUCCUCUUUCCUUCUGUGUUUAUCUCCCUCCCAAUUCCUGAUUCUUCAACUACUUAAUUUCUAGAUCUAGAAAGACAAUGGUACAUAGUAGCAAGAUCACCAUACUGGGUAAUAUUUGAUACACUUCAGUGCUUUUCAAAGUUGGUUGAUUGCAGUGAGAAUUUUGGUUUCUUAAAAUCAGAGAAAUAUUAUAAGAAUAAGUUUUUGUUUUAAUUCCAUAUGGGGCUGCUUCAGGUUGUCCACAGCAGCUGACUAUGAUUUGCCUCAUGCUCUAGCAGAGUCAUAGUUUUUACAACGACAGAUAGUUUCUGUGAUUAUGUGACAUUUAGAAUUCUGGGAUCUCUUCACAGGGUAUAUCAAUGCUAGGCUCCCAAGCAGCAGGCUGGGUUAUUGGUUGUUGUUGGUUGCAGUUGGUCUCUGUUUAAGUAGCCAGGCUCAAAGAAGAAACAAGAUAAAAAGAAAAAAUUGGGUGUCUUGACUGCAAAGAUCAAACGUCCCAAGGAACUCAAUACUACCCCUAAUUAGCAGGAAAUAGUCUAAGGAUGAUGUUGCCCCCUUUCCUCUCUGUCCUUUUUUUCUCCCUAUCUAGUGUUGGGGUGGGUGGAAAGGGUGG
rnacentral:lncRNA from 1 species